UACGAAGGGGGCUAGCGUUGUUCGGAAUUACUGGGCGUAAAGCGCGUGUAGGCGGGUCCUUAAGUCAGGGGUGAAAUCCUGGAGCUCAACUCCAGAACUGCCUUUGAUACUGAGGAUCUUGAGUUCGGGAGAGGUGAGUGGAACUGCGAGUGUAGAGGUGAAAUUCGUAGAUAUUCGCAAGAACACCGGUGGCGAAGGCGGGUCUCUGGGCCGAUACUGACGCUGAGGAGCGAAAGCGUGGGGAGCGAACAGG
rnacentral:rRNA from 1 species